rnacentral:lncRNA from 1 species
GGUGGGUUGAAAAUUGUUAUGUGUAGGAAAUUUAAAUGUGUUUUUUUUGUUUUAAAAGUGGUUAUGUUUGAUGAGUUUAAAGGUUGAAAAUGAUUAUGUGUAGCGACUUUAAAGGUGUUUUUCUGUUUUAAAUGUUGUUUUGUUUGGUGAGUUGUUAGAUCGAAAAAGGUUAUGUGUAGGAACUUUAAAGGUGCUUUUCUGUUUUGAAAACUGUUAUGUUUGGUGACUUGGUAGGUUGAAAAUGGUAAGUGUAGGGACUUUAA